rnacentral:rRNA from 1 species
AUUGAACGCUGGCGGCAGGCCUAACACAUGCAAGUCGAGCGGAUGAAAGGAGCUUGCUCCUGGAUUCAGCGGCGGACGGGUGAGUAAUGCCUAGGAAUCUGCCUGGUAGUGGGGGAUAACGUCCGGAAACGGGCGCUAAUACCGCAUACGUCCUGAGGGAGAAAGUGGGGGAUCUUCGGACCUCACGCUAUCAGAUGAGCCUAGGUCGGAUUAGCUAGUUGGUGGGGUAAAGGCCUACCAAGGCGACGAUCCGUAACUGGUCUGAGAGGAUGAUCAGUCACACUGGAACUGAGACACGGUCCCGACUCCUACGGGAGGCAGCAGUGGGGAAUAUUGGACAAUGGGCGAAAGCCUGAUCCAGCCAUGCCGCGUGUGUGAAGAAGGUCUUCGGAUUGUAAAGCACUUUAAGUUGGGAGGAAGGGCAGUAAGUUAAUACCUUGCUGUUUUGACGUUACCAACAGAAUAAGCACCGGCUAACUUCGU